GAUGAACGCUGGCGGCGUGCCUAAUACAUGCAAGUCGAGCGAACAGACGAGGAGCUUGCUCCUCUGACGUUAUCAGCGGACGGGUGAGUAACACGUGGAUAACCUACCUAUAAGACUGGGAUAACUACAGGAAACCGUGUCUAAUACCGGAUAAUAUAUUGAAUCUCGUUGGUCAAUAGUUGAAUAAGGUUUUUCUGUCACUUAUAGAUUGCUACGCCGCGCAUUAGCUAGUUGGUUAGGUAACGGCUUACCAAGGCAACGAUGGGUAGACGACCUGAGAGCGUGAUCGGCUACACUGGAAGUGAGACACGGUCCAGACUCCUACGGGAGGCAGCAGUAGGGAAUCUUCCGCAAUGGGAGAAAGCGUGACGGAGCAACGCCGCGUGAGUGAUGAAGGUCUUCGGAUCGUAAAACGCUGUUAUUAGGGAAGAACAAAUGUGUAAGUACCUAUGAACGUCUUGACGGUACCUAAUCAGAAAGCCACGGCUAACUACGUG
rnacentral:rRNA from 1 species